CAAAAGGCAAUAGGAACUUUCAAAUGUGGACCUGAGAGAAGCUUGUUGAUGAGACAACAUGUGCAGAAACUCCAUGUUCUGUACCUACACACUGUCUGUGUCCUUGAACACACCUACAUGUGUUCAAACACACAUUAGCAGGACUUUGGAGAACUUGACUGAGGAGAUCAUCCAUUCAUCCAUCCAUUUUCUGACACCCUUGUCCCCAGCGGGGUUAGGAGGGGUGCUGGUGUCUAUCUGCAGCGAGACAUUUCGGGCAAGAGGCGGGGUACACCCUGGACAGGUCGCCAGUCCAUCGCAGGAGGAGAUAAUUCAUCCAUUUGGUUUUGGUGUAUUGGUCCAAAGACACGUCCCUGCAGGACGCUGGGCAUUGUGGACUGGAAUUAAAGAUUCCUGCAUUAGAGAAUUUGUGGUUCACACCAGUUUUGUCAGGAGGAAUGCAUCAGACUUCCAGCAAACUACUAUUUUAUGAUAGGGCAGCUGUGGGUCAGUAUGAAGACACAAGAUGAUGACUAUCUGGUAGGCAGAAGUUGAGGGAUCAGUUCCAGCCUCCUUUACUGCUUUAAAGAGCCUACGAGCAAGGCAGUAACUCCAAUUUGGCUCCCAAUCAGUGUCUGAAAUUGGAUGCUGGUCCAUAUGUAGCGAAAGGACAUAUCCAUCCAUCCAUCACCUCAUCAACUCUCUGACCUGCUUCAAUAUCCCAGCUGACAAAGAGCAUCCCCUCUGUGUGACUCUCCCAACACAAUGUUUUGCAGUUGGGAUGUUGUGUUCAGGGCAAUGUGCUG